UGGGGAAUCUUGCACAAUGGGCGAAAGCCUGAUGCAGCAACGCCGCGUGAGCGAAGAAGGCCUUUGGGUCGUAAAGCUCUGUCCUAAGGGAAGAAGGAAGUGACGGUACCUUAGGAGGAAGCCCCGGCUAACUACGUGCCAGCAGCCGCGGUAAUACGUAGGGGCAAGCGUUAUCCGGAAUUAUUGGGCGUAAAGAGUACGUAGGCGGUUCUUUAAGCGCAGGGUAUAAGGCUAAGGCUUAACCAUAGUUCGCCCUGUGAACUGGAGGACUUGAGUAUCGGAGAGGAAAGCGGAAUUCCUAGUGUAGCGGUGAAAUGCGUAGAUAUUAGGAGGAACACCAGUGGCGAAGGCGGCUUUCUGGACGAAAACUGACGCUGAGGUACGAAAGCGUGGGGAGCAAACAGGAUUAGAUACCC
rnacentral:rRNA from 1 species